AUUAAUUUUACUUUCUUAUUUUAAUGGGGUAUGUCUGUGUACACAACUGCAUGCAUAUUUCUGUGAUCGUGUGUUCAGGGUAUUAUUUGUGUUAUUUUUUGUAAUGAGUAUUCUUUUUCCUCCUCAGUUUGUUUUAAUUAAAUUAUGUAAAAACCCAAAGCACCACCAUGUCCAUGAUUGUUUGAACAAGUUCAUUUGGAUGAUUUGCUUAAUUGUUUGAAGUAGUUUCUCCUUCAGAGACUGCUUAUCAAUACCAGCUGUGGCACUGUGGCUUUUCUCCAUGGUCUCAUGGUGGUCUUUGGAACAACGUUCUUCAACUUUGACAGGAUAUUAUUUGGCCACCAAAAGGAAUGAAGUACUUGCAUAUGCCACAACAUGGAUGAACCUUGAAAACAUUAUGGUA